ACUGUCAUAACCUGUUUGCAAAGUCACAGUGAGUCAUCUUUGACAAAGUGGUGGUGAUGCUAAUGCUAGCUGGUAAUCCUUUUCGACAACUUGUACAUACCACUUGCAGUAGGAGAGGAAGAUGUCAGUUGUUCCAAGAGAUCCAGUUGAUUUCGUGCCGAUGAGCCUUUGAACACACACACAAGUUUCAGAUUUACUGCAAAGAAAAUGCUCAAGCAUACAUGUUCACAAAUUUGUUUGAAAGAGUAGAAGCAUUGUCGUCCUAAAGGUAGAGGCUAUCAACAACGGAAGCAAAAGAAGAACCAAGGUUUCUGGCAUUCAUCUAUGGUCACCAUGAUCAUGUCCUGGAAAUUUUUUUUAUGGAAGAUCACUUUGACAUUGAAAGAAACUAGUGGAAGUUGGUAUGACAUCUAUGGCUCUAACUAUUUGGUGCUUGCCCGAAGUUUAUCUCUUGAGUCUUGACCCAGGUACUAAAAUUUUCAUUAAUAUCCUUCUUUACUAAUUGACUACACAUUUAUAUAGAAUGAACAAGGAUAAAAUUGCAUGCUGCUGUAAGCAUCUUGAAACUUCUGUAAUGAUAGAAGACAGGUGAUGUUUUAUCUUGAAGCUUCUGUAAUCAUAAAAUUCCAUGCUGCAGUAAGCAUCUUGAAGCAUCUUAAAAUUGCAUGCUGCAAUAACCUAGCAGAGGUUAGGUGAUUCUUGUUUUCCUUUUGAUAAACAAACAACCCAAAAAAUACACUACUGAUUGAUAAUAUAUUUUGAUAGAACACUUUGUUAUGGGCAAUUAAUGGCUGUAAAAGAAAACUAUAUUAUUUCCAUCUUUUUCCCUAUACUAAAUGAUUAUUUCUGGUAUCUGGCUAGAAUUCAUGACGCUAUCUAUAUAUACUAAAUGAUUCUUUCUUCUACAUGUUGGAAGAUUACUCUUGUAGUCAGAAUUGUAACAGCUAUAUAGUAUUUGAACAUCCAAAGCCAAAGAACUGGUCUACAGCAGAGUUUCUUUUCUUUUUCAGUUUCUAUGAUCUCUACAUCUUUGGAGUUGAGAUCGUUAUAGUAUCCAUUCCAACAAGAAAAAGAAAGAAAAGAACAACAAAAACAAAGGUGAGAAUCUUUACUGGUUGGACUGGUAUCCUCUGCAACACUCUCUGAUUGUGAUGCUUUACAGGGAGAGAAACACUUCUCUGAGCUUGUGGGCUUGAACAGCACACUCUGGUUCUUUGUUGGCACUCUCUCUGUAGCCUGAACCCAAGGAGGAGGCUUG